UACAGAGGUCUCAAGCGUUGUUCGGAUUCAUUGGGCGUAAAGGGUGCGUAGGCGGCGCGGUAAGUCGGGUGUGAAAUCUCGGGGCUUAACUCCGAAACUGCAUUCGAUACUGCCGUGCUUGAGGACUGGAGAGGAGACUGGAAUUUACGGUGUAGCGGUGAAAUGCGUAGAGAUCUAUCGGAACGCCAAGGGUGAAGACAGCCCGCUGGGCCUUUCCUGACGCUGAGGCACGAAAGCGUGGGGAGCAAACAGG
rnacentral:rRNA from 1 species